UGGGGGAUACUGCACAAUGGGCGAAAGCCUGAUGCAGCGACGCCGCGUGGGGGAUGAAGGCUUUCGGGUUGUAAACCUCUUUCGCUAUCGAACAAGGCCCGCUUAGGGUGGGUUGAGGGUAGGUGGAGAAGAAGCGCCGGCUAACUACGUGCCAGCAGCCGCGGUAAUACGUAGGGCGCGAGCGUUGUCCGGAAUUAUUGGGCGUAAAGGGCUUGUAGGCGGCUUGUUGCGCCUGCUGUGAAAACGCGGGGCUUAACUUCGCGCGUGCAGUGGGUACGGGCAGGCUUGAGUGUGGUAGGGGUGACUGGAAUUCCAGGUGUAGCGGUGGAAUGCGCAGAUAUCUGGAGGAGCACCGAUGGCGAAGGCAGGUCACUGGGCCAUUACUGACGCUGAGGAGCGAAAGCAUGGGUAGCGAACAGG
rnacentral:rRNA from 1 species